AAACUCUGCAUUAUUUAAAAUAACCUUCCCUCGAACUCAAAGAAACCACCACAACAAAAAACUAACCGCAACACAUAUAAAACCACAAACAUUUUUUAAAAACAAAUUUAAAGAAACAACAAACAUAUAAUCGUACCUUCGCAAUAUGCCAUUUGAACACUAAAAAUAAAAUAAAAAUCAUAAACUCACCACAACGUAUUCUAGCCACACAAAGCGACCUAAGGUUUACCAAAAAGAAAACCCACGAAACACAUAAUACACAAUUCUACUCACAAUCACAUCUACUGCACAGUUUCAAUAACUUCACAAACUACAGCAUCUCCUUAGCACUUAUUUGAUUUAUAUACUAAUAACUACCUACAUAAUCACAACAAA
rnacentral:lncRNA from 1 species